rnacentral:rRNA from 1 species
GAUGAACGCUGGCGGCGUGCCUAAUACAUGCAGGUCGAGCGAACAGACGAGGAGCUUGCUCCUCUGACGUUAGCGGCGGACGGGUGAGUAACACGUGGAUAACCUACCUAUAAGACUGGGAUAACUUCGGGAAACCGGAGCUAAUACCGGAUAAUAUAUUGAACCGCAUGGUUCGAUAGUGAAAGACGGUUUUGCUGUCACUUAUAGAUGGAUCCGCGCCGCAUUAGCUAGUUGGUAAGGUAACGGCUUACCAAGGCAACGAUGCGUAGCCGACCUGAGAGGGUGAUCGGCCACACUGGAACUGAGACACGGUCCAGACUCCUACGGGAGGCAGCAGUAGGGAAUCUUCCGCAAUGGGCGAAAGCCUGACGGAGCAACGCCGCGUGAGUGAUGAAGGUCUUCGGAUCGUAAAACUCUGUUAUUAGGGAAGAACAAAUGUGUAAGUAACUAUGCACGUCUUGACGGUACCUAAUCAGAAAGCCACGGCUAACUACGUG